UAUAGUCCGGCAAGCGCUUCCGGAGACGUGCUUAGGAGUGUUAGGUGGGGGAUGGCGGAGGUAUCUGGUCCGGUGGCCCGGCUGGAUAGGCCCGGUUCGGCCUGGCUCGGCGCGGCAGAAAGUGACAGUUUCAUGUUGGGUGGUCAGAAAGGGUAAUCCGAACAUCAUCUCAUAGGGUGACCCUCCCAGGUCUGACCUGGGUUGUGUUCGGACCCUCAACAGAGCCAAAGAUCUCAAAAAUCUGGAAGAUGCUGUGAAGACAUUGGACAGAUGCCAUGGCAACAGCCUCCAAAGGAAUGGAUCGAAGUUGCGGCACAGGAAGUUUUGGAUCAACAGGAAUACCGCAAGUGUUCUGGACUGAGAAAGUAACAGAGAACCGUCCAGAAAAGACAUGCCUUCUCACCGCCAGUGGAUGUCAUCCAGGAACCAUAUCAGUAAAAGGUUUGAUUGACACUGGAGCAGAUGUCACAAUACUCUUGCGACUUUGUUGGCCUCACUCGUGGCCUCUCACUCAUGCAAGUUUUGGACUUCUGGGGUUGGGUGGUGCUACGACAGGUGGUUUGUCAGCCAUUGUAAUUAAUGUGAAACAUCCUGAUGGCCAACAAGCUAACAUCAGACCCUAUGUUGCCGAUGCUCCUCAAAGUUUGUGGGGACGAGAUUGUUUAUCUCAAUGGGGUGUCAAAAUUACUAUGAGAUUUUUAAUAGGGGCCACUGUGAUGCAGGGCAAUGAACGUCCAGUUGUAGCCCUGUGAGAGUCUGUCUGAAAUAUCCCUCAUCUGCCUCACAACUGUCAUUGGGGGACCACUGAAGAAAAGACUCCUCUGUCGAUCUCUGGCUUUGUAGGAGAAAGUUACACAAAGGCCCUGAGACCUGAGAGCAUUGCUAAGUAAUUGUUUUCACAGGUGCAUGCUACAUGCUACACUGAGCCCAAUGAGAAGAAGGGGCACUGUGCCCUUUUGCAACAAUAGCCUUGGAAGCUGUCACACCUCUUGGCCUGGCUGGACUUCUCCUGAGCUUUUGGCUGGUCCCCCAUAGAAGACCCCUCUCACUUGUUUGCAACCACCGUGACAAACAAGCUGAGAUGACAGAAGCCUCUCCACCAAAGAAAAAACCCGAGACAUGAAAUCCCCACGUGAGAAAGGCCUCCCUCACACUUUCCAAGGACUGGGACUGGAGCCCCCAGCCCGGGGGAGGUGCACAGGGGGAGGCGAGCUGACCAAAGCAAGAUGGAUGUUGCAGGUGCGGGGACUAGACCACGAAAACAAUGGCCCUCGCCCGCUGAGAUAUGGACUGUGUGUACCCUUUUUCCAAAUACCAUUCUCUUUACGAUAAAUUCAGUUUCAAAACAAUUCCUUCCCCCCCAUCGAAAAGUGUAUAAUUGGAGUCCAGAUGGACUGCAUCUCUGAGAUCUCCCCAAUGUAACAGGCGGAUCCUCGACUGGACUGGACCUAAGGACUUCGUCUCUACAUUUGGUAGCUAUAUUCCCCUUUUUCUCUCUUUCUCUCUCUGUCUUUUUCUCCCUUAAUCCCUCUACCACAUUUUGCUGUGGUCAUUCAAUAAAGGUGCAUUUGUUUUGAUUAUUGCUGCAAAACCCCCUUGUACCGCGUCGGGUUUUUUUUGUUUGCACCCUGAGAUCCCUUAUGAACCACCACGAAACCCGUC